rnacentral:rRNA from 1 species
AAAUUGAAGAGUUUGAUCAUGGCUCAGAUUGAACGCUGGCGGCAGGCCUAACACAUGCAAGUCGAACGGUAACAGGAAGCAGCUUGCUGCUUCGCUGACGAGUGGCGGACGGGUGAGUAAUGUCUGGGAAACUGCCUGAUGGAGGGGGAUAACUACUGGAAACGGUGGCUAAUACCGCAUAACGUCGCAAGACCAAAGAGGGGGACCUUCGGGCCUCUUGCCAUCAGAUGUGCCCAGAUGGGAUUAGCUAGUUGGUGAGGUAACGGCUCACCAAGGCGACGAUCCCUAGCUGGUCUGAGAGGAUGACCAGCCACACUGGAACUGAGACACGGUCCAGACUCCUACGGGAGGCAGCAGUGGGGAAUAUUGCACAAUGGGCGCAAGCCUGAUGCAGCCAUGCCGCGUGUAUGAAGAAGGCCUUCGGGUUGUAAAGUACUUUCAGCGGGGAGGAAGGUGUUGUGGUUAAUAACCGCAGCAAUUGACGUUACCCGCAGAAGAAGCACCGGCUAACUCCGUGCCAGCAGCCGCGGUAAUACGGAGGGUGCAAGCGUUAAUCGGAAUUACUGGGCGUAAAGCGCACGCAGGCGGUCUGUCAAGUCGGAUGUGAAAUCCCCGGGCUCAACCUGGGAACUGCAUUCGAAACUGGCAGGCUUGAGUCUUGUAGAGGGGGGUAGAAUUCCAGGUGUAGCGGUGAAAUGCGUAGAGAUCUGGAGGAAUACCGGUGGCGAAGGCGGCCCCCUGGACAAAGACUGACGCUCAGGUGCGAAAGCGUGGGGAGCAAACAGGAUUAGAUACC